CCCUUUGGAUAAGAGGCCUGUCCAUGCAGAUAGAGCCAGAUUAUUUAGAUGGUCCCGAGUGAAUGAAAACUUGUUCGCUACUACUGGUUAUCCAGGAAAAAUGAUCAGUCAACUUCUAGUUCAUCAUUUAGGCCACCCUCAGCCUAUCCUUAUUGGUUCUGCACCCUUGGGAUCUGGUUUAACCUGGCACAGGACUCUUCCACUAUGUGCCAUGGGAGGAGAUCAUAAAGUAUAUUUUUGGGUGACUGAAAUGUAAAAAACUAUAUCUACUCUAUAGUGGUUUAAAGUAUCAGAUAAUGAUUAAGAGAGGGGAGAGUUGAAGUAAUAUAGUUGUCUUAUUUUAUACU